CAAAAGUAUUAAAGCCAUUCUUACCUUGCAGGUCAUACAGACAACAGGCAGUGAGCUGGUUUUGGCUCGAAGACAGUUUGCCAGCCUCGGCUCUAGAUCAGUGGCUUGUGGACUCUUUUGAUCAUGACUGCUUGAACCCGGUGCUGACCCCCUCCCAAGAACUUCUUGUUUUCCUCGCAGAGAACUGGAACUGUUCCAGAGGUAGCACUUAGAGCAGGACAUGCCCAUAAGCUUAAGGAAGGUACUGCUUACAAGAAAUGAGUCACAGCAUCGCCAUUGUUUCCAACAACAAAGUAUAUGAAAAACACUCAAGCUCCACUAAACAAUACUCCAAGUUUUGCUGGGACAGAAUGGUUAGACUAUUUGGACACUACCAUGAAGACUGUGUCCACCAUUCUGCCUUCGAAAGGAGGAGGCUGUAGAGAGAAAAGGGGAAGAGGAAGAGGA